UCAGAUGUGAAACAGCUUCUUGAUCUUGUGGAGAGUCCAGACUAUAAACUGAAGACUCUGAGGUGGAAGUGGUGGUAAACAGGAGGAUGAUCUGUGUCCUGAUGAUCCAGAGGGUGAAGCAGCAGCAGCUUGUGUGGACAGAGACUCUGACUGCAGAUAAAUGCUGAUGUUGAUGAAGAAGUGAGCAGCUCAGUCACAAACAUUCUUCUCCCAGUGAUGCAGCCAGUGUUCAGUUUCUCUCACUCAGCAGAUGCAUGUGUUUGUGCUCCUGCUGCUCUAUGGACUCCACUGAGUCAACAUCUAAAACUAUUUGGACUUUUCUGUUGGGUUUCAGUGGAGGUGUGUAUGUGCUGGAUGCUUGUUUUGUCAAUUCUCAAAAAUAAUAGAAAAACCUUUUGUGUCAAGAUUAGACACCCUUGUUGAGUUGGUGCAGGACCUGACAAACUGUAAAGAAAACAAGGAAUAUGCUAUAGGAAUUUUUGCUGACUUGAAGAAGGAAUUCAACGCAACUGACCGUAGGUUAUUAGUUAAAAAACGGAGAAGUAUGGUGUCAGAGGGAUUGUAAAUUUGUAAAUUUGUAAAUUUGUUUUUGCAGAUGACGCGUAUAUUUUGUGUGCUGGGUAACACUUGCAGCAGCACAUGGAAGUGGUCACAAAAGAAAUGUAUUAAAAUGUGGGUUUGACGUGGAUAAGUUAUCCUUAAACUCAAACAAAACUAAAUUUGUUAUGUGAUAAAAUUAAUGGAAAUGUACAAUUAGAAAUCAACAGAGUAGCAGUAGAGAGAGUAUAUGAAGUUUUUGGGGUGUUUCAAUUGACCAGAAAGCUGGAAGGUCCACAUUAUAUAUAUUAUUAUAUAUUGGAAUAAAUGCAGGAUCCCAAGUCAAACAACAUUACGUGCUCUUUACUGCACACUCACUUUUCCAGACCUGAUCUAUUGUGUUGAAAUAUGGGCCAACACAUACAAGAGCACUUUACAAACAAUAUGCACAUUACAGAAAAUAGCUGUAAGGAGAAUGAAUCAUGCCAAAUAUCUCCAUCACACUCAUCCUCUUUGUGUUAAAUCACUGAUUUUUUAAUGUAUGGACUCGGUUAAAGUUGGAACAUCAUUAGUUUUAUUUGAGGAAAAAAACAUGAUUCCUGAAAACAUUCAAAAAUCGUUCCAAACUAGAGAAGAUAUUUAUCAGUUAAGAGGAAAAUUAAAUCGUAAACUACCUGGAGUACAGCUCUUAAAAACAUGUGCUUAUCGGUUUGUGGAGUCACUCAAGAAAGUACUACGGCACUACUGUAAAACUUAAAAACAGAUACAAUAAAAACAUUCUUGAUAAUUAUAAAAAUUUAUUCUAAUCAACUUUUUUUAAAUGAACAAUUAUACAGUGCUCAUUAUGUUUUUGUUUAUCAUACUUCACAAGAAGAUUUGACAUUAAAUUUGACAGAUGUUGUUGUGAAAAAGGUUCAGAAUCAUAGAAGAACUUUAGCUUCUUUGUCUCAAACUAUUUAUUUGUGAAAAAAGAUGAGAACAUGAUAUUGUUCUGGUUUUUUUUUUCCUUUAUGUUUGAGAUGAAUUUUAACAAUAAAACAUUCAUCUGUAUCUCAUCAUCUCUACAUGAGA